rnacentral:rRNA from 1 species
AUUGAACGCUGGCGGCAGGCCUAACACAUGCAAGUCGAGCGAGCGGCGGACGGGUGAGUAAUGUAUGGGGACUGCCCGAUAGAGGGGGAUAACUACUGGAAACGGUAGCUAAUACCGCAUACUAUCGGAUAACCCAUAUGGUAUUAGCUAGUAGGUGAGGUAAUGGCUCACCUAGGCGACGAUCCCUAGCUGGUCUGAGAGGAUGAUCAGCCACACUGGGACUGAGACACGGCCCAGACUCCUAAGGAGGCAGCAUCGGAGAAUAUUGCACAAUGGGCGCAAGCCUGAUGCAGCCAUGCGGCGUGUAUGAAGAAGGCCCUAGGGUUGUAAAGGACUUUCAGUCGGGAGGCGUUACCGACAGAAGAAGCACCGGCUAACUCCGUGCCAGCAGCCGCGGUAAUAC